UUAAGAGCGACGGGCGAUGUGUACAUAUUUUAAUUUCCAAUCAUUUUAUUAAAUUCAAUAAAAUUACCAUUUAAAUCCACCUUCAAUUAAUUGUUACAAAUUAAUAUUCAUUUAAAUAAAUUUAUUGUAAUCCAUUAUAUUCUUAAUUAUAAUCUACAUCUUGAUCUGAUUUAAUUUCUUAUUUAAAUAUUAAAAUAUUAUUUUUAUUAAAAAAUAUUUUUUUAACAACGAUAUAUAAAAACUAAAAUACCGCCAAAUUAUUUAAGUUUCAAUAAAUUAUUAUAUACUAUUUUAGUAUUUUAAUUUAAAUUUUUAAUAAUAGGGUAUCUAAUCCUAGUUUA
rnacentral:rRNA from 1 species